GGAGCGGUGUCCUGACAGCCCUUUCAUAGGCAGGGCUGGAGCUGCUUGCUAGCUGGGACCUCCCUCUUCUGGUUAAAGGACCGUGGAGUAGAUGGGAAGGCCACGGAUAACUGUGGGGGUACAGGAGGGGGGUCUCUUAUGGGAGGACUCUGCAGAGUGCCUUCGCCUUUUGGGCUCCCUCUCUACUGCCCUGUUGUUGCCUUCAAAAAAGGCCCUGUGUCUGAGGCCUCAGGCCUGUGACUGAGCUCUCAUUCCCUGUGUCCUGGCCCUUGGGAUGCUGAGGGAGAGAGCUGCAGAGGCCAGAGGGCAGGUUAAUGAAGCAUCUGUUCUGAAGGAGGAGGAGCAGGCUGGAGGCCUGGCCGCCCCAUCCCCCACCCCUGCCGUGACUAGCUGGGCUGGCAAGGAAGGAGCACGUGGCAGCUCCUCGGGCCAGCAGCAUUGGCACUGGGCACAGUUUGGAGCGGAAGGAGGCGCCUCUGGCAGGAACCUCUCAGGAGCUUCUGGAAAACCAAGGACGCUGAAAGACUAAGGAGAGUCCCCAUGGCUUCACUGAGCCGGGUCCUACGUGUAGCUGCCACCUGUCCUCGAGGGAGAUCUGCUCGGAAUCUGGGGCUACAGCCCCUGGCCAAGGAGACCAGGCCCACCACUGAGAAGAGUGUUCCAUACCAGCGGACUCUGAAGGAGGAGGCCCAAGGUGCCUCCGUGCCCCAAGGACCAAGCCAGCCUCUGCCUAGCACAGCCAAUGUUGUGGUCAUCGGUGGGGGCAGUUUGGGCUGCCAGACUCUGUACCACUUGGCCAAGCUGGGUGUAGGUGGAGCAGUGCUGCUGGAGAGAGAGCGACUGACCUCUGGGACUACCUGGCACACAGCAGGCUUACUGUGGCAGCUGCGGCCCAGUGAUGUAGAGGUAGAGCUUCUGGCUCACACACGGCAAGUGGUGAGCCAUGAUCUGGAAAAGGAGACUGGACUGCAUACAGGCUGGAUCCAGAAUGGUGGCCUUUUCAUCGCUUCUAACCGGCAGCGCCUGGAUGAAUACAAGAGGCUUAUGUCGUUGGGCAAGGCCUAUGGUAUAGAAUCCCACGUGCUGAGUCCAGCAGAGACCAGGAAUCUGUACCCUCUGAUGAAUGUGGAUGACCUCUAUGGGACCCUGUAUGUGCCACAGGAUGGUACCAUGGACCCCGCUGGCACCUGCACUACCCUCACCAGAGCAGCAGUGGCUCGAGGAGCUCAGGUCAUUGAAAACUGUGCAGUGACUGGCAUCCGUGUGCGGACAGAUGACUUUGGAGUGCGGCGGGUGGCAGCUGUGGAGACAGAGCAUGGCUCCAUCCAGACACCCUGUGUAGUCAACUGUGCAGGAGUGUGGGCGAGCACUGUGGGCCGGAUGGCUGGAGUGAAGGUCCCACUGGUGGCCAUGCACCAUGCUUACGUCGUCACUGAGCGCAUUGAGGGGAUCCAGAACAUGCCCAAUGUCCGGGAUCAUGAUGCUUCAGUCUACCUCCGACUGCAGGGGGAUGCCUUGUCUGUGGGUGGUUAUGAGGCCAACCCCAUCUUUUGGGAUGAGGUGUCAGACAAAUUUGCCUUUGGCCUCUUUGACCUGGACUGGGAUGUGUUCACCCAGCACAUUGAAGGUGCCAUUAACCGUGUCCCCGUGUUGGAGAAGACGGGGAUCAAGUCCACUGUCUGUGGUCCUGAAUCCUUCACACCCGACCAUAAGCCCCUGAUGGGGGAGGCUCCUGAGCUCCGUGGCUUCUUCCUGGGCUGUGGCUUCAACAGUGCAGGCAUGAUGUUGGGUGGUGGCUGUGGACAGGAGCUGGCCCAUUGGAUUGUACACGGGCGCCCAGAGAAGGACAUGUACAGCUAUGACAUCAGGCGUUUCCAUCAUUCGCUCACGGACCAUGCCCGCUGGAUCCGAGAGCGCAGCCAUGAGUCCUAUGCCAAGAACUACUCGGUUGUCUUCCCACACGAUGAGCCACUGGCAGGCCGAAACAUGAGGAGAGACCCCCUGCAUGAGGAGCUUCUUGGACAAGGCUGUGUGUUUCAAGAGCGACAGGGCUGGGAACGGCCAGGAUGGUUCAACCCCCAAGAAACAGCUCAGGUCCUUGACUAUGACUACUACGGGGCCUACGGAAACCAGGCACACAAGGACUACGCCUACAGCAGGCUGCUAGGUGAUGAGUACACCUUCGACUUCCCACCCCACCACCACAUGAUCCAGAAGGAAUGUCUGACCUGCAGAGGAGCUGCGGCUGUGUUCAAUAUGUCUUACUUUGGGAAGUUCUAUCUGCUGGGGGUGGAUGCCAGGAAGGCUGCAGACUGGCUUUUCUCAGCAGAUGUCAAUCGACCCCCAGGCUCAACAGUGUACACAUGCAUGCUGAACCAACGGGGAGGCACCGAGAGCGAUCUGACCGUUAGCCGCUUGGCUCCUGGCACCCAGGCCAGUCCCCUGGUCCCUGCCUUUGAAGGGGAUUGCUACUACCUGGCCGUGGGUGGGGCUGUGGCCCAACACAACUGGUCUCACAUAAACACGGUGCUACAGGACCAGGAGUUCCGGUGCCAGCUUAUGGAUAGUUCCGAAGAUCUGGGCAUGCUCAGUAUCCAGGGCCCAGCCAGCCGUGCCAUUCUCCAGGACGUGCUUGAUGCUGACCUGAGCAAUGAGGCCUUCCCCUUCUCCACCCACCAGCUGGUGAGAGCUGCUGGGCACUUGGUCCGGGCUAUCAGGCUGUCCUUUGUCGGGGAGCUGGGGUGGGAGCUGCAUGUGCCCCGAGCAUCCUGCUUACCAGUGUACCGGGCUGUGAUGGCUGCAGGCGCGAGGCAUGGCCUAGUCAAUGCGGGCUACCGUGCCAUCGACUCCCUGAGCAUCGAGAAAGGCUAUCGACACUGGCAUGCAGACCUGAGGCCCGAUGACAGCCCCCUGGAAGCAGGAUUGACCUUCACCUGCAAGCUCAAGACCUCGGUGCCCUUCCUAGGCCGAGAGGCCCUGGAGAAGCAGCGUGCCACAGGCCUCCGCCGACGCUUGGUAUGCCUCACCGUGGAAGAGGAGGUGCCUAUGUUUGGCCUGGAAGCCAUCUGGAGAAAUGGCCAAGUGGUGGGCCAUGUCCGGAGAGCUGAUUUUGGAUUUACUGUGAACAAGACCAUCGCCUAUGGCUACAUCCGAGACCCCAGUGGUGGCCCAGUCUCUCUGGACUUUGUGAAGAGUGGAGAGUAUGCCUUGGAGAGAAUGGGGGUCACCUAUGCUGCCCAGGUUCACCUGAAGUCUCCCUUUGAUCCUGACAACAAGCGGGUGAAGGGAAUCUAUUGAUGAGCUACAAGGUGGAGGCUACAGCUGCUCAGGCCACUGGAAACCGCCACACUUCCCACACUGCCUGUGGACUCCAGCACUGCACACACAGCCCUGUGUCCUGAGACCCUGGAUAAGGGCAAAGCACAGACUUCCCCACGCUUAGCCUCCAUCUGGUCCUGCUAACCACCACAGCUUCUAACCAGGACUGGAUGGAGCACUAUGUUCUUCCUGCUCACGGACCACACAGUGGUCUCCGAUCCACUCUAGUCCUCCCAAAAUGCACCCUGCAGAUGUCUUGGCUCAAGGUCCCUGGAAGCCGCCCACUGGGAAACAGGAGACACUCUGCAAAGGAAUAUUUAAGCAGUGUUUUCAUGGCAUACACCAACACAAGUCACCCCCGGAGGACCAACAGGGUCGGGACUGUGGGGUUUGGGGAGUCUGCACCCAGCCGGCAAGGCUCUUCUGGAGGCAAGGCUGCACCCAAGCAUGUGAGAGACUGAAGAGGAUCAGGAGAUGUGUUCUCAACACUGGUACCUCGUAUCUUCUGUGGAUUGUGGUAAUGAACUUCCAGUCGGAGAAACCGGGAAGACUUCUGGCCUCCAAAGGCGACACCAGCUUCUUUUGGGUAGUAAAAUGCCUGUGCAGGACAGGAGUAUUAGACAGGGGUCCUUCAGGGCUCUGGGACAAACCUGGCCAGCAGCAGGGGCCUGAGCAGAGAAGCUCAACAAGUGACCAGGUUAGAAGGAUUCUCUCCUGGGGUUAAGUAGACCUUACUGUCACACACAGAAGGUCCUAUCAGGAGGGCACUGAACCUCAGCUGAGCCUCCCUCCCAGACCUUCCAGUUCUGCCUUCAACAUCCUCUGGCCUGAGGACCUAGAAGGGUAAGACUCAUGGGCGUGGUCUGUUGACAUCGUGCCCGGCCAUAGGUAUCCCUGGCAUCAUGCUGUGCACAGAACCCAGAUCCUUGCAAGUGCUGAUCCAGUGAUGAGCGGUGCACACUUGUGAUCAUGUGCGUUUUCAUAGAAAGCUACAAGGAGCUUUUGUGGCUCCCAAAGCACAGAGCAAGAGCAUCCUAGAGUGACUGGGGCUGCUUGGAACCUGCACUGGCGCGCCUCCCCCCACCCCCAUUGACAUUUUAGGAUGUAGUUUUGUGGAGCCAGGUGCAGGGAGUUAGAAUCCUGAGGACUCCACAGGAGGCCUGGGGAUGGAGCAAUAGUGUCCUAAUUAACUUUAAACUAUUGAGUUGACAAAGCCUAGGCUCAGCAGAGACAUGUACGCUAAGUAAAUCCUUUCUUCCCC